AUUCUUUUGUAGUUCUAAGCAUGACAAUUGGGUUUUCACCCUUUUGUGGGAGAUGUACCUCCCUCAGACCUUGUUACAAUGUUAGCACAUUACCUGUCUGACG